rnacentral:rRNA from 1 species
AUUGAACGCUGGCGGCAGGCCUAACACAUGCAAGUCGAGCGAGCGGCGGACGGGUGCGUAAUGUCUGGGAACCUGCCUGAUGGCGGGGGAUAACUACUGGAAACGGUAGCUAAUACCGCAUACCCUCAGAUGUGCCCCGAUGGGAUUAGCUAGGAGGUGGGGUAACAGCUCACCUAGGCGACGCACCCUCACUGGUCUGCGAGGAUGACCAGACACACUGGAACUGAGACACGGUCCAGACUCCUACGGGAGGCAGCAGUGGGGAAUAUUGCACAAUGGGCGCAAGCCUGAUGCAGACAUGCCGCGUGUGUGAAGAAGGCCUUCGGGUUGUAAAGCACUGUCAGCGGGGAGGCGUUACCCGCAGAAGAAGCACCGGCUAACUCCGUGCCAGCAGCCGCGGUAAUAC